rnacentral:rRNA from 1 species
CUCACCGGGGCGACAGCAAUAUGAAGGUCAGGGCUGAAGACCUUACCCGAUUAGCUGAGAGGUGGUGCAUGGCCGUCGUCAGUUCGUACUGUGAAGCAUCCUGUUAAGUCAGGCAACGAGCGAGACCCACGUCCACAGUUGCCAGCAUACCCUCCGGGGUGAUGGGUACACUGUGGAGACCGCCGCUGCUAAAGCGGAGGAAGGAGUGGGCAACGGUAGGUCAGGUAUGCCCCGAAUCUCCCGGGCUACACGCGGGCUACAAUGGUUGGUACAAUGGGCAUCUACCCCGAAAGGGGAAGGAAAUCUCUUAAAGCCAAUCGUAGUUCGGAUUGAGGGCUGCAACUCGCCCUCAUGAAGCUGGAAUCCGUAGUAAUCGCGUUUCAACAGAACGCGGUGAAUACGUCCCUGCUCCUU